rnacentral:sRNA from 1 species
AUUCUACCCAUGCGGGGAAGGAUGAGAAGCUUCGACUAAGGUUCGAUUCGAGCGCAGCGAGAAAGCGUUGCCGCAGGCAACGACCCGAAGGG